rnacentral:lncRNA from 1 species
GUAAACCCCGUGUAUUUAUCUUCUAUAUGUAUGACAAAAUAUCACCCAUGGCUGCCAGGGCCACCUGGUACGCGACCACCUGGUCCGCCGCCGCGGUGUGAACCAUGAUCGCCCACUCCAGUUUUACUUUCUCCAAUAACCCUUGGGUUCUCUUUAUUUUCAUCUGCAACUACCACUAAAUAAGAAAUUGAUGAUUUUAAUAUUUAGUAUCUUUACAUCAAAAGGUAGAUAUCAUUAUUAUUGCUAGAACUAGAACUAGAAGUAGAAGAGAGAAGAGAGAGCCUUACCGGUUUUGGGGACUCGAGUUGUUCGAGCAAUAGCAGUAUUAUAAGAUGCAAAUAAAAUGAGGAAAAGGAUUGGGAUCGCAUAGGAAGCCAUUUUAACCAUUUUUGAUUACUUUCUUCUAUUAAAAGAGAAUAGUAAUCACGGCAUAUCAAUUCCUUCAUCACCAUUAUAUACUCUAAAAGUUUCAAGCGUUGGGCCCCAACCAGCGAUCAGUUUUUGUGGAAAUAUUGCAAUAUGAUAUUAAUUUUGUUGACUUUAGAACUUUGAUUACAUACCCAACGGUCAAUGCACGCUAGCUUGAUAGUUAUUUUAGGAGAAUUUUUCAAAAAAUUAUUACUACUUUAUAAUCUAAAUCUAUCAAUUUAUAUAUAAUAUAUAUAAAUAUAAAGCUAAUGUUUAAUAAGUUGGUAAUAAAACAUAAUGUAAUGUAAUUAUAAACAUUUUUAAUGUAAUAUUUAAAUUAAAAAUAUUUCCUAUAAUUUAUUAAUCUAAACAUGCAAUUUCACUCGACAACAUAAACUAAUAUUGUUAUUUGUUGAUAGGAAUAGAAGAAAACUAAUUUCGCCCCUAAAUUUUGUUUAGAGAUAUUUAAAAAAAAAAAUCAUAUUUGACAUUUUCAGUUAAUUUGAUUCCUGAACCUGCAUAUUUGUUGAUAGGAUUAAAAAAGUCAUAUUUGACCUUUUCAACAAAUUUAACCUCUAAACUAGUUUAGAAUGAUUAAAUUUAAAUCAUAAUUCUUCACUUGCAAUGUGAAAAUUUUUAUAUAGACAUUUAUUAAAAUUAUAAUUUGAAUCAGUUCGUAUAAUUUAUUUAAAAAAAUAAUUAAAUGUGGAUAGAAGAAAAGGAUAUAUGAAGUAUAUCUCUCUUAUCUUAAUUUCUAAUUUUGAGUUCAUGAAUAUGUACUAAUUUAAACAUUUUAAAACUGACCAUUAUUACUGGAUUUAUUAUAUAUUAAAUCCAUGCAUUUCUCAUAUUCAACAGGUUAAAGUUAUAUUAUAUGUUUAGUAAAUUUACUAUGUGUUCAAAGAAAGUAAUGGAAAAGUUUGAUCUUGGUAUUUAUAAGUAAAAAAAAAAAAGUGAAUAAAAGCUGCGAUUGAAUUGAAGCAAUUCAUUAAUUUGUAAAAAUCAAAACAAAUCUGAAUAAGCUUAAAAAGUCAAAUAUGACUUUUUUUAAUAUUACUAAAUAAAAUCAAGGGUUAAAUAGGUUUGUAUUUCUUGUUGGUGAUGGUUAAUUAAAUAAAUAAUAUAUUCGAUGAUUUUUAAAUGCAUAAAUUUUAGAAAUUUUCCAAUUCUAUCACAAAAUUAUAUAUAAAGAAAGUAAACUAUCAUGUUAGCUUUGACUGACUGUUGUAUACUAUAAACUCCAAUUUGAAACGCGCGUAGUGAGCAUUGACCCCUUCCUUCCAAGUUUCAAUCAACAAAAAUAUUAUAUUGCAAUUUUGAUUUUUAACGAAAAAUUUGCAAUCCAAUCCAUAAACUUGUUUCAAUAUAAAAUGGUGUUCAAAUUGAAGAAUGAGUUAUUAAUUUCAUACAGUUCUUCUAUUUUACUAUACAAGAAACUGAGCAAACAGCAAAAAUGGUUAAAACGACAUCAUUUACAUAUGCAUUCUCUAUCGUCAUUUUCCUCAUUUUGCUGGCAUCUUAUAAUAUUGUUGCUACUCAGACAACUCGAGUCUCCAAAACUAGUAAGGCUCUGUCCUCUCUCUUUUAAAUUGAGUCUGAUCAUUCUAUUUGAGGAUAAUUAUUAUUUAUAUGAAAUUAAUUGCAAUUAUAAUUAUUAUUUGAAUUGUUAAAAAAUAUUACUAUGUUGAAAAAUAUUGAUUAAAUUCGAUCAAAAUUUAAUUUCAUUAGAAAAUUAUAAUUAUUUUUUUGAGAGACAAGUGAAAUUAAUUUCUUAUUUAUUGGGUAAUCACAUAUGAAAAUAAAGAAAAGCUUAGGGUUUUUGAAGAACGUAAACCGCAGUUGCCUCCAUGUGAUUCAAAACGAAGGACAAGGCAAUACAAGACUCCGGCUAUAGACCGUUUUUAAUCAUAUAGGAGGGUGAAAAAAAAAUUCAAAGAAAUCAGAACGGUGGAAUUAAGAAAAUAUAUUAUUUUAAAGAGUAAAUUUUUUUGGUUGUUAAUAUAUUUGGUUAACAAGUUCGAUAUUGUGUAUUUUGUUAUAUAAAAAACUAUAUAAAAACAUCGAAUCGAAGCUUUUUUUUUUUUUUUUUUUGGAGUUUAAACCCUCUAUUCUAAUUUAAAAAAAAAAAAAAACUAUGUACAAACUAUAAAUAAUGUUGCUUCAAUCUUUAUUUUGCAGUUAUAUUUUCACCCUAAUUUAUUUAUUUUAUUUUUGAAGAUCAAUUUUCUAUUCCUUUAAGACAAUCUAGUAGGAUAACUUUGUUAAUUCUGAACAAAUUAAGACAAACUUCAUUAAUUAUAAACAAAGAGAGACUAUGGUUACGUUUGUUUUCGUAAAUAAUUUACAGAAAAAUUAUUUUUCACAAAUUUAAAAAUUAAUUAUAAACAAAGAGAGACUAGAGCUACGCACACACAUCUACUUUCCUUUGGUUACUCUCCACUUGCUCUCUCUCUCCGCCAGUGCGCCUCCCAAUUUUCUAUUUUUUCUCUUUCUCUCAAUUUAAAUUUCAAACGAGUAGUACAUGGCAGAGAAAUCCGUGGAUUUGCCCGAAGAAUGCUGAGAAUUGAUUUUCAAUUCGCUCGAUCAUCAUCGUCAUUUUGAAUAUCUCUCUUUAGUUUCCAUUCGAUUCCUCUCAAUCACCGAUCAGCUCCGAUGUAUCUUAACAAUAUCUUUUAGGUAAUUCCUUUCCUUACAUGUCUUCUCAGUAAAUUCUGGAAUCUGAAGGAAAUUGAAAUUCGUGAAUUCGAGGGUAACCUCAAUUCCCUUCUUUAUCAAAUCUCUAAAUCUGGAAUAGACAUCAAAACCUCAAUUUCUCAAAACAGAACCUUUUUCCUUUAAUGGGUGUGAGAGAAUUAGGACUUACCUAUAUGCGGUAUAUAAAUACACUUAUAAACCAAAUUAAUUAUAACUAGUAUUUUGGUUCAAAUAAAUGUAUUUUUUAGCGGACACCAAGAAACAAAAGCACAAAACAGUAACUUUAAAAAAAAAAAAAAAUUUAUUGGCGUGGCCCUAAGUGUACGUAGACAAGAAAUUUUUCCUAUUCAAAUGAAGAUUAGAUUUGCCAAGACUUUCUCUAUAAAUCCAUCAAUGAAAAUAAAGAUUUUUUUCUCAAAUGAUUUUAUAAUCUAAAUCUAUCUCUUUAUAUAUAAUAUAUGUAAAUAUUACGGUAAUGUUUAAUGAGUUGGUAAUAAAACAUAAUGUAAUGUAAUUAUAAAUAUUUUUAAUGUAAUAUUUAAAUUAAAAAUAUCAAUUAAAUCUGAUAUGAUUAAUUUUUUGAUGUCUAUUAAAAAUUAUGCGGUGAGUGAGUAUCAAGUCCAUCAUUUAAAAUUGAGCUAUAAAACCAUUAAGGAAACCGAGAAUUCAUAACAAUUUUCUAUGCAUGAUUUAAUAAUUUAUAGAAUUACAAAAAAAAAAAAAAAAAGAAUCAGAUGCAUGAUUUAAUGUAUGAUUCAGUUUCUCAGCACAAUCUAUCUAUUAUAUGAAUAUAUAAAUACAAAAGUAAAUUUGCUGACAGUUGAAGCGCUGAGUUGGUAGGAGAUUUUUUUUUGACAAGGCAAGAGAAAUGGUUUUUAAAAUAGAUACUAGCUUUAAAAUUUAGCUUUAAAUCAUUUAAUUAGGAUAAUUUAUUAUGUGAAUAAAAUUUUCAGUUUAUAACUUAGAGAACGUUAAACAUGCUAAACUUUAUAAUAAAAAUACAAUGGACAUCAGUAAUUAAGAUUGAUAUAGAUUAUAUAUGCAUGCAUGCAUGCACAAAUACUCUCAAGAGAGAUUAGUCCAAAAGUUUUUAACGUUUUUUUUUCCAAAACAAUAACAAAUUCAAAAAAAUGCAAUAAUAUUAUCGAAGAGGCUCCCACCAAUAUAUUAGAAUUAAAGCAGAUUUACUAUAAACUAGUGAAACAUAUGGUAUUUAGUUUUUCCUUCUCUUACUUCAUUUUCCUGUGGAUAGCUUAAUUGAAUUUUUAGAUUUUCCUUAAUAUUUGACUAUUAUAAUAUGAAUGUUGACUGCUGUAAUACACGAACACGCGAAAGGCUUGAUGUUUUUUCGCUUCGGAAACAGAAAUGGCUUUAGAACGUAUCGAAUCUGUUUCCUUAAAUAUUGAAAAUUUGACACCUUUUUCCCCUCCUCGGAAAUGUUUCUUGCAUUAAAGGAAAAAAAAUUAUAUUUCAAAUCCAAAUCAAAUUUGGAUGAUUUGCAAAACAUAUUUGGCAAAGGACAAAUAAUCUUAUUUCUAAUUUAAAUAUUCAAACUUCAAAUUUAACAGAAUUUCAUUAUUUUUUUUCAUUUUUACAUUCGAAUAUUUUGUUUUCUUUUUUCUUUAUUAAGUAUGGAACUUAUAAACAUUUUUUUUUCUUUCUUUGGGAUAUGAUAUAAUAAUUUAAUUUUAGAAAACUUUAUCUGUGGUUAAUUGUCCUUUAAAAAUUUUAAACGUACUCUUUCUAAAUUAUUUUUAUAUUUAUUCCUAUAUUUUUAAAUUUUACAAAUAAACCCCUAUAUUUUUUAUAUUUACGCAUUUUCCUACAUUUCUAUUUCUUAUAUUUUUGAAAAUGUCAUUUCCCGUGUCCGUUUCCGUAUUUCCCUGUUUUUCCGUUUCCGUGUCCGUGCAUCAUAAGGUGGACUAUUUCAUAUGAUGCUCAACUAUUUGUACAUUUCUCACUUUCUUGAUAAUUUUGCCUAUUUUUUGGAAUUGAAAUAUUCACUAACAAUGAUUUUCCAAUCAUUUCUUUUUUACAAUUGAUUAAGAAUAUUACCGUUAUGGAUAUAUUAUUGCUCCCACAUAUUCACAAUGUAUGGAUUUUUUAUAUGUUUUUAUAGAUAUAUCAUUUGUAAGAGUUGACCAGAGAACAUUAUUUUUUGAAAAAUUUUCUAUGCAAGUAAAGUUCACAUUAUAACAAAUGAGACCAGAAGAGAUACAAUAAAACACACCCUUUAUCAAGAUCAUGAUAAUUUUGACAAAAUAUAUUUAAUUAUCUAUCUCACUUUAUUUUCAAUUGCUUAUGUAUAUAUAUAUAUAGUCAUACACGAGACAAACAUAAAUUUGUAAUUUGGAACUUGUAAACCGUGUGCACUUAUUUUCUAUAUGUAUGAUAAAAUAUCACCCACCGCCACCUGGUCCGCCACCGGAUGAACCACGAUCGCCCACUCCAGUUUUACUUUCUCCAGUAACCCUUAGGUUCUCUUUAUUUUCAUCUGCAACUACCACUAAAUAAGAAAUUGAUGGUUUGAAUAUUUAGUAUCUUUACAUCAAAA